rnacentral:lncRNA from 1 species
UGUAGAUAAUCACAUAUGAUAUAGGAGCUCAAUAGAAAUCAGAAACAAGUGAAUAAAUCAUAACAGGAGUGGACCACACUUACUAGAACUUGUGACAACCUGUACAUUGUAUUUAUUCAACCACUUUACCUUCGUUCUUAUCAUCUUUGUAAUCAUUACUGUACUAUACUUUGACCAUUAGGCUGCCUCCAGUACAUAUCAACUGGGAUCGACCCAUGAUAGGCUUAUGCCCCUGGGAUACCACCCAUAAACACAUAAAUAGGGAUCGAACAUCCUAUUGGUGAUCUACACUUCCUUCCAUAUAAAGCUCCGUAUGGUGCCAUUUUGAUACUUGAAUGAUAGCUAUUAUUGUAGGCAAACUCAAUAAGAGGUAAAUGAUCAUCCCAGUUGCCCUUAAAAUCUAUUACACAAGCUCGUAG